CAGCUCUUCAAUCCGGCUCGAAGGACCAUUUGUGAGGACCAUUUGUCAUAUUAUCUUGCUAAGCUGGACCCUCAGAGUAUGUCAACUGCUCAGGUGUACUGUACAGGAGGGGAUCAGGUCUUAAUCAGUGCUGUGGUAAAGAUGUCUACAGUCUAACAGAUGACAAUGUGCUGUGCUGUAAUGGAAUCCUUUAUCGCAAUGUGCCUGAACAGUCAGAGUGUGUCGGAGGUGUUAUAUAUACUCAAAACCAGAUUAAGAUGUUGACUUGUGGCUCGGAAGUCUAUGACCACAAAAAACAGCUGUGCUGCUCAGGUCAUCUCUACAACAAAAUUAAAGCAGAAUGCUGUGGAAACCUCUUGCUGAAAUAUAAUAACAAUCAAAUUUGCUGUUCCUCUUCAACCCAUGCCAUGAUUUAUGAUACCAAACAAGAGCAUUUGUGCUGUGGGCAUUACUACUACAACACGUCCCUGUGGAGCUGCUGUGCUGAACAUCUCAAACCAACACCAAAGACAGACAGUUAUCCACCAGAAUACAGACUUAAACCACUAACGGACCUGAUCCCUGACAUAUGCCAUAAAACAGUGCUCUUUGGCAAAGUGGAGAGUGUGGUACUUCGCCAAAAAUGGCGUGACAUUGUGUUGAGAGUCAUUGUGGCGGUCAGCGAGUUAUCACAAGGGACUUUACUCCAUGUGUCCCUGGAUCACUGCAGUUCUCCUGCGCUAGAAAACAGCAUGACUUACCUUUGGGAGGAAAACAACAGGAAGUACAAGCCUCUCUCCAUCCCUGUUGAUGUAACCUCUGACAUUCACAUGUUCUUUACAGCAUGUGACCUAAAUCUCAUGCAGGCCUUAAAGCGGAGUGUCAACACAUGUUCACACAUGCGCCAUAUUCACGGUGUAUUUUCAAUGCAAGUACACUUUUAAAGAGAAUCAUUUGACCUAUCGGUAAGCCCCAUCCCCCUUAUUUACUGUUGUGAACUUGGACAAACAAAUGGAGUUGCUAACUGUCUUACAAUGACAUGCAGUGUCAAUGUCAAAACCUUGUCCCGAGAUGUUUUAGAUAAAUUUUGUACACAGAAGGAUCAGCAUUCACAUGGGACAUAAAUAUGUCAUAGAGGGAUAUAAAAAAUAUUUUAAAAUAAAUAUUGUGGGUAUUAAUUUGGAAGCAAGGUUUUACAGAUCACAAUGCAAGCAAGAGAAGCCUCGUGUUACGGUCGUCACAAUUGCUGAUGACAACAUCUAGGAUUCAUGUACCACAGGAUUAGAUUAAAUUAAUUUACCUUUGACCAGUUAAUAUGGAGAGGCACUAAAAUGUAGAUCUUCAUUUAAGUGUUUUUGACCUACGCUGUACGAGAUGUGAGAACAGUUAUCUAUUUAGGGUGGUACGUUAGCAUGGCAUCACUAACGUUAGCAAGUUUUAGCCAGAGAUACCUUGCUGAAAAGCACAAAAUGACAUUAGCGUUCUGCUUGAGCAGAUGAAAAUACUAACUUUAUGAGAGUAUGACAACAGUGAAAAUGAAUGUUUUCGUCUUCAUUAGGAUUGGGGUUGAAUGCUUAGGG
ensembl:lncRNA